UACAGAGGUCUCGAGCGUUGUUCGGAUUCAUUGGGCGUAAAGGGCGCGUAGGCGGCGGGGCAAGUCGGGUGUGAAAUCUCAGAGCUCAACUCUGAAACUGCACUCGAUACUGCUUUGCUUGAGGACUGGAGAGGAGAUUGGAAUUCACGGUGUAGCAGUGAAAUGCGUAGAUAUCGUGAGGAAGACCAGUGGCGAAGGCGGGUCUCUGGACAGUUCCUGACGCUGAGGCACGAAGGCCAGGGGAGCAAACGGGAUUAGAG
rnacentral:rRNA from 1 species